GAUGAACGCUGGCGGCGUGCCUAAUACAUGCAAGUCGAGCGAACGGACGAGAAGCUUGCUUCUCUGAUGUUAGCGGCGGACGGGUGAGUAACACGUGGAUAACCUACCUAUAAGACUGGGAUAACUUCGGGAAACCGGAGCUAAUACCGGAUAAUAUUUUGAACCGCAUGGUUCAAAAGUGAAAGACGGUCUUGCUGUCACUUAUAGAUGGAUCCGCGCUGCAUUAGCUAGUUGGUAAGGUAACGGCUUACCAAGGCAACGAUGCAUAGCCGACCUGAGAGGGUGAUCGGCCACACUGGAACUGAGACACGGUCCAGACUCCUACGGGAGGCAGCAGUAGGGAAUCUUCCGCAAUGGGCGAAAGCCUGACGGAGCAACGCCGCGUGAGUGAUGAAGGUCUUCGGAUCGUAAAACUCUGUUAUUAGGGAAGAACAUAUGUGUAAGUAACUGUGCACAUCUUGACGGUACCUAAUCAGAAAGCCACGGCUAACUACGUGCCAGCAGCCGCGGUAAUACGUAGGUGGCAAGCGUUAUCCGGAAUUAUUGGGCGUAAAGCGCGCGUAGGCGGUUUUUUAAGUCUGAUGUGAAAGCCCACGGCUCAACCGUGGAGGGUCAUUGGAAACUGGAAAACUUGAAUGCAGAAGAGGAAAGUGGAAUUCCAUGUGUAGCGGUGAAAUGCGCAGAGAUAUGGAGGAACACCAGUGGCGAAGGCGACUUUCUGGUCUGUAACUGACGCUGAUGUGCGAAAGCGUGGGGAUCAAACAGGAUUAGAUACCCUGGUAGUCCACGCCGUAAACGAUGAGUGCUAAGUGUUAGGGGGUUUCCGCCCCUUAGUGCUGCAGCUAACGCAUUAAGCACUCCGCCUGGGGAGUACGACCGCAAGGUUGAAACUCAAAGGAAUUGACGGGGACCCGCACAAGCGGUGGAGCAUGUGGUUUAAUCCGAAGCAACGCGAAGAACCUUACCAAAUCUUGACAUCCUUUGACAACUCUAGAGAUAGAGCCUUCCCCUUCGGGGGACAAAGUGACAGGUGGUGCAUGGUUGUCGUCAGCUCGUGUCGUGAGAUGUUGGGUUAAGUCCCGCAACGAGCGCAACCCUUAAGCUUAGUUGCCAUCAUUAAGUUGGGCACUCUAAGUUGACUGCCGGUGACAAACCGGAGGAAGGUGGGGAUGACGUCAAAUCAUCAUGCCCCUUAUGAUUUGGGCUACACACGUGCUACAAUGGACAAUACAAAGGGCAGCGAAACCGCGAGGUCAAGCAAAUCCCAUAAAGUUGUUCUCAGUUCGGAUUGUAGUCUGCAACUCGACUACAUGAAGCUGGAAUCGCUAGUAAUCGUAGAUCAGCAUGCUACGGUGAAUACGUUCCCGGGUCU
rnacentral:rRNA from 1 species